UGCAGUCAUUACACAUUGAUAUAUCGGUUCUCGUACGAUCACCGAAGUUAAGCAACUUUGAACCUGGUCAGCACUUGGAUGUCCGCUUGGGAAUACCAGGUGCUGUG